UUGUCUUCUUUGUGUCCUAAUUUUCUUUGAAUAUCUGUGGAAAUUGGUUAUAGGAUGCUUUGUCUUGGUCUUGUUUGUCUGGGUUGUUUUCUGUGGUAUUGUCGAGUGUCUUUUUGACUUUUGUUUCGUUUUUGGACUUUGGAUAGACAACUAUGUUUAAAAUCUUGGACUGACGACUGUGUUUAAAAUCAUGAAACUGUUUGCUUUGUUUGUCAAGGAGUUUUACUUGGUCCUCUUGGUGCUUAACUUGGAAAUAAUUUGCUUGAGAAAAAUUGUUUUCUGCUGGGGAGUUUUAUCUUUCUCUCUUGGGCCUCCUCCCCAAGGAGAGAUGCCCCUCCCUUUGCUCCCCUUGUCCAGUCUAGCUGCCGUUAACAGUUGUGUAUGAAGAACUCCAGGUUAGUGAGUGACCCUGUCUGAAGCAGGUAUUAACAAGAGCCUGAAAGCUUUACCUUAGAUCCUGAAGAAAAAUUCUCCCUGUUGCUUAAACAUUCACAGCGUCUAAGGAAGGGACAGCACAGAGUAGGAAAAUGUAGGGGCUGAGGGUGACAAGCAUGCAGGCCUGCUAGCAAGCUGCAGGCUGCUCGUGGGCAGUGGCGCAGCUCUGGCCAAGUCAGCGUAAGAGGAGUUUCAAGGUGAUGAGGCCGGCUGGCUUUGACAACAAGAAGAUAGCGUAGAGUUAGUGGUUGUUUUAUGAGACUUUUGGCCCUGAAAAAAUAAUAAUUCCAGUUGCUGCCUUCAGUGACCAGACCUUCAACACUUGCUCACAGAAGGAGAGUGUUCAUUAAGAGAAGUUCUUUAAGGGAGCCUGCCUUAUCUGCUGGCCCUAUUCCAAGAGAGGAGUUGAUCUCCAACAUUAAGUAACCUUCCCUGUUAGUCAUCAUUGACAUGGAGAGUGCCUUUGAUCCUAUCCCCACAGCAGCCAGUUCCUGCCCCUGUGGUCAAAAUGCCCCAGGUUGGGGGACAGAGAAGCCCCUAAAAUAGUUUCAAAAAGAAUCUGCAACAAACUGUGAAGAACUUUGUUUUGCCAGUCAAAAUUUAGAAUUCAGGCUUUGGCUGUGGCCAAGGUCAGUAUUAAUGUUUUCUUUUCCAUGGGCCUUUAGCCCACUGAGACAGUUUGGUAAGGGGCUGCUACUGAGGUCCUGAAAGUCCCAGGUGAACUGGUUACAAUUCUUUUGUCAGCCACUUGGCAUCUAGCACCCAGGUCCUAACCAUCUCUCCAUCCUUUUGUUAUUAGUUCUUAAGUCCAGAGAGAUAGUCGGUAACAGAUCAGCUCCCUCUCUGCUUGCCGUUCUGUUUCACAGACACAAAGCUUGUGCUUAUUUUUACAAUGGCUUUUUUGUCCCAAGAAAGCCUCCUGGCUUAGCUGUGUGACUAAAUGCUAUUUGUCCUCUUCAGUGGACCUCUAUUCUCAAGAUUCUCUUGUUUUCUCACCAUCCCACUUGAGAUGCUUGUUAGUAACUGUUACAGGUCUUCUUUACCACCGAGGAAAGACAGAAUCCUACUGGAGGCCAGAAAGAAUGUUCCAGACAUGGAUGGAGACCCUCACUCCUGACUGUUGACUUGAAUACCCCUGAAGCCCAUCAGCAGAGGGGCCUGCUGACAUCUGAGGGCAAGAAAAAAAGAGAUUCUGGCUAUGUUAAGGGCCCUCCAUGACCCAGCCAGGCCAAGGAAGAGACUCUGGUACACCUCAACGAGAAAGAAGAUCCUGCUACAAUUUUUACAGGCAGAGGCCAUGGUAAAACAAAUACAUCAAUGGACUCACUUAGGGGUAAGCAAACUCAUCCAGACAUUUUCAAAAACUAAAUAUUAUGUCACAGGUCUCAAGUAUCUCGUGGAACAGAUAGUGCAGUGAUGUAUACCAUGCCAAAAGGUAACUGUUUUCAGGAAAGUUGACUGUGGUAGGAGGCUCCGUGGGGAACGGCCUGGAUACUACUGAGAAGUGGACUUCACAGAGAUAAAACCAGGAAAAUAUGGUUAUAAAUGUCUCCUAGUGUUUAUAGAUAUCUUUUCAGGAAUAGGUAGAAGCUUUCCCCACCAAGCAAGAGACGGCCUCAAUAGUCAUCAAGAAGAUACUAGAAGAAAUCUUCCACAGGUCUGGAGUGCCCAAGGUAAUCUGGUCAGACAACAGCCCUACUUUCGUUGCCAAGGUGAGCCAGGGUGUGGCCAGGUAUUUAGAGGUUGAUUGAAAAUUACGUUGUAUUUACAGACCUCAAAGUUCAGGACAGGUAGAGUAAAUAAAUGAAAUUUUAAAAGAGACCCUGACCAAAUUGACCAUGGAGACUGGCGUAGACUGGGUGACACUCCUUCCCUUUUGCUCUCUUCAGAGCAAGAAAUAUUCCUUCCAGAUUCAGCUUUACCCCCUUUGAGAUCUUAUAUGGGGCCUCAGCUCCCCUGACUGUAUUAGAUGAUGUUACUGAACCAACAUGUCAUAGUAAUAAUGAUUUGUAUGCCAGGCUAAAAGACCUACAGGUGAUACAGAAAGAAAUCUGCUCACACCUGACAGCAGCCUAUGCCCUGGAGACCCCUGAGACAUCCCAUCAGUUCCAGGUUAGAGACUACAGCUACACUGAGCCCAGACACUCGAGCCUCGCUGGAAAGGACCGUACCUGGUGCUGCUGACCACCCUGACAGCCAUCAAGUCUCAGCCCUCACCAGCCGAGUACUAGCUGUUGGAGCUGAGAGCUGGGACCUAGAGGGACACUCAGAUCUUCAAAAAGCUCCCUAGACUUAAGUGAUUGGGAGGUUGCUAUAAUGCUCACUUGAGGAGUGUGUUUUAGAAACAAGAAUUUCAUGUUUGCCUGUUUGCCCUGGGUUCCCUCGGAAUAGGUAUAGGGAUAGGCUUGAUUUUUAUUGCAAAUGAUGUAACAUUACAUAUGUUAGUACUCCUAACACUUCUUGGGACUGUGCCUCAGGGAUCACAAUCUAUAUAAGUUUAGAAGUUCUAAAAGACCUUGGUGUAUAGGUUCAGAUAGUGUCCAGAUUAGAAUCCUGAUGCUAAAGACUUAAUAAGACACAAAAGAGAGUUGAGAAUUAUUUAAGGCUAUCUAGGUGCUACAAGGGCAGCACAAGGACAUCUGCUGUUGUCCUACAAUGCAAGGCUUAUAGAGAAUUCAAAACUGCCAUUGACUCAGAUAUGAAAAGAGUAAAAAAAGACUUUUUAGCUGACCUCCAAGAACACCUAACCUCCCUCUCAGAGGUAGUCUUCAAAAUAGGAAAAGAUUAGACCUGAUAUUCCUUAAAGAAGGAGUCUGUGUGCUACACUAAAAGAAGAAUGUUGUUUCUAUGCAGAUCAGACAGGAAUAAUAAGAGAUAUAGACUUUCAGUCAUUCAAACUUUUGUGCUGAGACAACAGUAUCAGAUGGUGAAACAACAAAAAACAGAGGUACCUUAACCAAGUUGAGUGGAAGAUUCCACUCAAGGACAAAAAAAGAAAA